rnacentral:tRNA from 1 species
GGUGGGGUUAGCUCAGUUGUAGAGUGCAUGCUUAGCAUGCUUGAGGUCCUGGGUUCAAUCCCCAGUACCUCCU